GACGAACGCUGGCGGCGUGCUUAACACAUGCCAGUCGAACGGAAAGGCCCUGCUUUUGUGGGGUGCUCGAGUGGCGAACGGGUGAGUAACACGUGAGUAACCUGCCCUUGACUUUGGGAUAACUUCAGGAAACUGGGGCUAAUACCGGAUAGGAGCUCCUGCUGCAUGGUGGGGGUUGGAAAGUUUCGGCGGUUGGGGAUGGACUCGCGGCUUAUCGGCUUGUUGGUGGGGUAGUGGCUUACCGAGGCUUUGACGGGUAGCCGGCCUGAGAGGGUGACCGGCGACAUUGGGACUGAGAGACGGCCCAGACUCCUACGGGAGGCAGCAGUGGGGAAUAUUGCACAAUGGGCGGAAGCCUGAUGCAGCAACGCCGCGUGCGGGAUGACGGCCUUCGGGUUGUAAACCGCUUUCGCCUGUGACGAAGCGUGAGUGACGGUAAUGGGUAAAGAAGCACCGGCUAACUACGUG
rnacentral:rRNA from 1 species